rnacentral:tRNA from 1 species
AAGGAUUUAAGUUAAAUAAACUAUUAACCUUCAAAGUUGAAAAUAGAGGGAAAUUUCUAAGCCUUAG